UAGGGAAUCUUCCACAAUGGACGCAAGUCUGAUGGAGCAACGCCGCGUGAGUGAAGAAGGCUUUCGGGUCGUAAAACUCUGUUAUUGAAGAAGAACGUGUGUGACAGUAACUGGUCAUGCAGUGACGGUAUUCAAUCAGAAAGUCACGACUAACUACGUGCCAGCAGCCGCGGUAAUACGUAGGUGGCAAGCGUUGUCCGGAUUUAUUGGGCGUAAAGCGAGUGCAGGCGGUCUUUUAAGUCUGAUGUGAAAGCCUUCGGCUUAACCGAAGAAGGGCAUCGGAAACUGGGAGACUUGAGUGCAGAAGAGGAGAGUGGAACUCCAUGUGUAGCGGUGAAAUGCGUAGAUAUAUGGAAGAACACCAGUGGCGAACGCGGCUCUCUGGUCUGUAACUGACGCUGAGGCUCGAAAGCGUGGGUAGCAAACAGGAUUAGAUACCC
rnacentral:rRNA from 1 species